rnacentral:lncRNA from 1 species
CCAGGUGGAAAGCGAGAACUUAACUUCUGGUAUGCCAGCUCCAUGUAAUAUCACCUUACUUUCACUACAUUGUGGCGGCUCAGAUGUCUUCCGAUAAGAAAUUGUGAUGGUGUUACAUAGAUGGAGAUGAUAGGCUAGUGAAAGAAUUGUGCCAACGUAUUCUCAUAACUCGUUUUAGCGGCAGCGCACAUGGGUUGGAGCGGGCGGAUGCCUCCCUAUCUUUCCACUUCUGCUGCUUUGACUUGCGAAGAAAAUGGCUCGAGGUAUCCUCGAGAGGAACGACGCUAGAAGAGACUAGAAUAAGUUGACUUCUUCACUAAGUUUGCACCCAAACGUACGUAGAUUGAUUCUUUUGUUCAUGAUCGCAUAUUCUCAAUAGUUUUACAUGGAUUGAAAAAAAAAGCAAUUAGCAUUGAUCAAUUCUACUACCAACUCCUGCAUAUGUACUAACUUUGAUUGUUACAAAGAAGACAUGAAAAAUGUGUUGAGACGCGAUCAGGUUUCCCUUCUUCUAUUAUGUGCAUUUUCUAUAGCAUAUUAGCAUCCCAUAUGUGUUUUAUUUUUUCCAACAAUUAUUAUUAUUUUGUUGGGAAGAGCUAUGAUAACAUCGGAAGGAUUCCAUAGUUUUUGCUGAACCCAGCCACACUGGAUGAUGAAAAAACAACAAGAAAGCCUUAACAGGUGAACGGAAUGUAUUACGUACAUGCUAAAAAUCAAAUAGGAAAAAGGAGAAAAUCAAUGGAUAAUACAUGCCAUCAUACUUCUUGUUGGGACAACAAGGCAUUCCUGGAAAUGACACCGCCUGUAUGAUGAAUAUCAUAGGUACAAGACAUGCAUAAUAUACAAGCAUCCUGGUUGCCGUGUUUUUGGGUGUUCCCUUAUGAAUUCUGAUGCUUGAUACAGGUCUUUUGAAGUGUUAAGAUGUGGACAUGAUGCAGAAACUUGGGCUUUCACGCAUACCGGUUUCCGAUCUAUUGGUCAAGGAUUUUUCCCAAGUAUGAGGCCCAAUCCUUCUGUCUGCAACAGUUUGUUGAUUCCUAAUUGAAAAACAGCUAUCUGCCAAGACACCUUGUGAGAACAUGGAGAUUUUACUAAUAUUGAU